UACGGGUGGGGCAAGCGUUGUUCGGAAUUACUGGGCGUAAAGGGCUCGUAGGCGGCCAACUAAGUCCGACGUGAAAUCCCCGGGCUUAACCUGGGAACUGCGUUUCUAACUGGCAGGCUUGAGUGUGGCAGAGGGGGGUGGAAUUCCACGUGUAGCAGUGAAAUGCGUAGAGAUGUGGAGGAACACCGAUGGCGAAGGCAGCCCCCUGGGCUAACACUGACGCUCAUGCACGAAAGCGUGGGGAGCAAACAGG
rnacentral:rRNA from 1 species